rnacentral:rRNA from 1 species
CACUGCCGAGAAAAGCCUCUAGAUAGAAAAUAGGUGCCCGUACCGCAAACCGACACAGGUAGUCAAGAUGAGAAUUCUAAGGUGAGCGAGCGAACUCUCGUUAAGGAACUCGGCAAAAUGACCCCGUAACUUCGGGAGAAGGGGUGCUCUUUAGGGUUAACGCCCAGAAGAGCCGCAGUGAAUAGGCCCAAGCGACUGUUUAUCAAAAACACAGGUCUCUGCUAAACCGUAAGGUGAUGUAUAGGGGCUGACGCCUGCCCGGUGCUGGAAGGUUAAGAGGAGUGGUUAGCUUCUGCGAAGCUACGAAUCGAAGCCCCAGUAAACGGCGGCCGUAACUAUAACGGUCCUAAGGUAGCGAAAUUCCUUGUCGGGUAAGUUCCGACCCGCACGAAAGGCGUAACGAUUUGGGCACUGUCUCAACGAGAGACUCGGUGAAAUCAUAGUACCUGUGAAGAUGCAGGUUACCCGCGACAGGACGGAAAGACCCCGUGGAGCUUUACUGUAGCCUGAUAUUGAAAUUCGGCACAGCUUGUACAGGAUAGGUAGGAGCCUUUGAAACGUGAGCGCUAGCUUACGUGGAGGCGCUGGUGGGAUACUACCCUAGCUGUGUUGGCUUUCUAACCCGCACCACUUAUCGUGGUGGGAGACAGUGUCAGGCGGGCAGUUUGACUGGGGCGGUCGCCUCCUAAAAGGUAACGGAGGCGCUCAAAGGUUCCCUCAGAAUGGUUGGAAAUCAUUCAUAGAGUGUAAAGGCAUAAGGGAGCUUGACUGCGAGACCUACAAGUCGAGCAGGGUCGAAAGACGGACUUAGUGAUCCGGUGGUUCCGCAUGGAAGGGCCAUCGCUCAACGGAUAAAAGCUACCCCGGGGAUAACAGGCUUAUCUCCCCCAAGAGUUCACAUCGACGGGGAGGUUUGGCACCUCGAUGUCGGCUCAUCGCAUCCUGGGGCUGUAGUCGGUCCCAAGGGUUGGGCUGUUCGCCCAUUAAAGCGGUACGCGAGCUGGGUUCAGAACGUCGUGAGACAGUUCGGUCCCUAUCCGUCGUGGGCGUAGGAAAUUUGAGAGGAGCUGUCCUUAGUACGAGAGGACCGGGAUGGACAUACCUCUGGUGUACCAGUUGUCGUGCCAACGGCAUAGCUGGGUAGCUAUGUGUGGACGGGAUAAGUGCUGAAAGCAUCUAAGCAUGAAGCCCCCCUCAAGAUGAGAUUUCCCAACUUCGGUUAUAAGAUCCCUCAAAGAUGAUG